rnacentral:rRNA from 1 species
GAACGUACGCUGGCGGCACGCCUAACACAUGCAAGUCGAACGAAGUAGCAAUACUUAGUGGCAGACGGGUGAGUAACAUGUAGGUAUCUGCCCUUUGGCCUGGAAUAACACGAGGAAACUUGUGCUAAUACCGGAUAAGUCUUUACGGAGAAAGCUUUAUGCACCAUUGGAUGAGCCUGCACUUGAUUAGUUUGUUGGUGGGGUAAUGGCCUACCAAGACUGUGAUCAAUAGCUGAUUUGAGAGGAUGAUCAGCCACAUUGGGACUGAGACACGGCCCAAACUCCUACGGGAGGCAGCAGUGGGGAAUCUUGCACAAUGGAGGAAACUCUGAUGCAGCGAUGCCGCGUGAGUGAAGAAGGCCCUUGGGUUGUAAAGCUCUUUCGUCGGGGAAGAAAAUGACUGUACCCGAAUAAGAAGGUCCGGCUAACUUCGUGCCAGCAGCCGCGGUAAUACGAAGGGACCUAGCGUAGUUCGGAAUUACUGGGCUUAAAGAGUUCGUAGGUGGUUGAAAAAGUUAGUGGUGAAAUCCCAGAGCUUAACUCUGGAACUGCCAUUAAAACUUUUCAGCUAGAGUAUGAUAGAGGAAAGCAGAAUUUCUAGUGUAGAGGUGAAAUUCGUAGAUAUUAGAAAGAAUACCAAUUGCGAAGGCAGCUUUCUGGAUCAUUACUGACACUGAGGAACGAAAGCAUGGGUAGCGAAGAGGAUUAGAUACCCUCGUAGUCCAUGCCGUAAACGAUGUGUGUUAGACGUUGGAAAUUUAUUUUCAGUGUCGCAGGGAAACCGAUAAACACACCGCCUGGGGAGUACGACCGCAAGGUUAAAACUCAAAUGAAUUGACGGGGACCCGCACAAGUAGUGGAGCAUGUGGUUUAAUUCGAAGAUACGCGCAGAACCUUACCAACACUUGACAUGUUCGUCGCGACUCUAAGAGAUUAGAGUUUUCGGUUCGGCCGGACGAAACACAGGUGCUGCAUGGCUGUCGUCAGCUCGUGUCGUGAGAUGUUGGGUUAAGUCCCGCAACGAGCGCAACCCUCACUUUUAGUUGCCAUCAUUAAGUUGGGCACUCUGAAAGAACUGCCAGUGAUAAGCUGGAGGAAGGUGGGGAUGACGUCAAGUCCUCAUGGCCCUUACGUGUUGGGCUACACACGUGCUACAAUGGUAUCUACAACAGGAAGCAAGACUGCGAAGUUAAGCAAAUCCCUAAAAGAUACCUCAGUUCGGAUUGCACUCUGCAACUCGAGUGCAUGAAGCUGGAAUUACUAGUAAUCGUGGAUCAGCGUGCCACGGUGAAUGCGUUCCCGGGUCUUGUACACACCGCC